AACCCUCUGCCGCGUUAAUUAUAGUUUAUUUCAGUGUUAUGUUUCAGAGAAUGAACCAAAGGCUAAGGGUGAGUCUGUAUAUAGUGGAGGUGCUCUGAAUUUCUCUGAUGAGCGGAAGGUGUAAGAGAUUUCAUCACGGGAACACUGGACUUGAAGUACGAGGAUAUGAGAAUUUUAAACGAAACAGACAAAAGUGUUUUUCGACCGCAAGGGUAACGAUCGCCACAGAGAAAAUGGCACGGUCUACGUGGUUAUCACGUUUACAGAAUCGGAUCUGAAUAUUACUUUGUCUGUUUAGUCUAACAUUUUUCUUACCAUGUUUCUGAAGAGAUCAAGUUAGACGCUGCGAAUAGUUGCAUGUGAGAAACAGUGUCUGAGGAAACGAUAUGGAUGUUCAGGAACUUACACCUGGCUCUCAAGACUUCACGAUAGAGAGCUCGAAGACAAAGACAAAGACAAAGAAGUACCAGUACUGAAAAAAGAAAGGCGUAAGAAGAAACAAUAUAGACGAGCUAGAGAGAAUUGCGACGCUGAAGUUAGCUAGAGGCAGACAUGUUACAGCUUAAAGCUAGCAAAGCAUAACGGGAGGCUGAGAGGUUCUGAGGAUUGUACUACGAAAAUGGACAAGUUUGAGGAGGCAUGCACAAGUAACUAUCUGAAACAGAGGUUGACCAAGGUUGACGCAGAGAAGAGAAUCAGUAUAUGUUAAAGAAGAUUAAGCUGAAAGAAAAUUCAAGGAUUGCAUCACAAAGCAGUGGUGGUGGAGGAGACCCGUCACAUGUGUAUGAUGUACUCAAAGGUCCACGAUCUACUUCAUGGAGUGUAAGUAGCAAUGUGGAAUAUUUCUCCAGCGAAGAAGCUUUGCUUCAUUUGGAGAGUAAUGGUUUAGUUUAUAUGAUAUAUCAAGUUAUGGGUGAUGGUUCUCACAAAGUUUCUAACUUUUUAUAUAUUUGGUUGUGUUUUAUUGUUCAUUUGUAAUAUGCUCUCAUAAACGGGUUUUAGAAAAUAAUAGUAUUUUGG